GUGGGGAAUCUUCCGCAAUGGACGAAAGUCUGACGGAGCAACGCCGCGUGAACGAUGACGGCCUUCGGGUUGUAAAGUUCUGUUAUACGGGACGAAUGGUACGACGGUCAAUACCCGUCGUAAGUGACGGUACCGUAAGAGAAAGCCACGGCUAACUACGUGCCAGCAGCCGCGGUAAUACGUAGGUGGCAAGCGUUGUCCGGAAUUAUUGGGCGUAAAGGGCGCGCAGGCGGCGUCGUAAGUCGGUCUUAAAAGUGCGGGGCUUAACCCCGUGAGGGGACCGAAACUGCGAUGCUAGAGUAUCGGAGAGGAAAGCGGAAUUCCUAGUGUAGCGGUGAAAUGCGUAGAUAUUAGGAGGAACACCAGUGGCGAAAGCGGCUUUCUGGACGACAACUGACGCUGAGGCGCGAAAGCCAGGGGAGCAAACGGGAUUAGAUACCCGGGUAGUCC
rnacentral:rRNA from 1 species